CUCACUAGAAGAUGAAACCAGUGGAAUUGAUAAGAAAAAAAUACUAAGAAGUUGAAGGUUGUGUCAAUGUUGUUAUCUUAUCUCAUGAGAAUUGAAAAUAUAAAGCUCCUGAGAAGAAUCUUUGGAUCUUUCUAGAGAAACGGAAGUGAAAACCAAGCAAAAAGCCGGUAGUAUCCUCUGUUUAAUUCCAUACACUUAGCUUGGAAUUGUUUUUAUUGUUAGUUGAUUAUAGCAGAGUUAUAUUUAUUGAUUCUUCUCUUCUCUUCUUAAAGCCUACCAGAUAAGGACCUCCACAUGUCACUUGUGACUUAAUUUCCUUUCUGAUCCAUCGUUUGAGUUUCAUAUAAUUCAAAAGUAAUGUUUCCAUUAACGCAUACUUUAAAGACGUACAAGAAAGAAAGAAAAAACGUACAAGAGUUUUAAGAAAGCGGGAGGCCGUCUCUGUAUUUUGAAAUGUUAAUCAAGGGAACAAAUGAGUUUUACAAAAUAGUCUUCUAUUUAACCCUACCUCUGAAAUGUUGUUCCAGUUGCACAUAAACCCUUUUCCUUCAGUUAAAUCCCACUCCGUUUCUACUCUUUCUUCAGAGAGGAGUUGACUGAAGGUUGUGAACUACCUCAUUAUGCUUUUUCUUUCCUGGUGGACAUACUUAAAUAUUAAAUUAUUCAGUCCUAGUGAAGGAUUUGACUGCAAUGCAUUUUGAGAAGUGAUGACAGCAGUUCAAGAAAUAAUAACAAUCCCUAAAUAGCCCAAAAUUAAAAUUGUUGGAUUCGAGUAAGAAUAAACCCACAGUGCAGUUAAUGGGUUAUUGGGUUAUCCAAAAAAAAAAACGAUUGAUAAUUCUUUUUAAUUGUUUGUAAUUUGUAAGUUAUAAACAAUUGUUAAUUGAUGGAGGUAAGAGUAAAUGAAAUUUACAAAAUCUAAUAAGGUCUGCUCUAGCCGCUUCUCUCUCGGGCACAAUCUCUGAGGUUUCCUCUCUAGCGACGUUGAUUCCAAUCGGCGUCGUUGGGAAGCUGUUUUUUCAUCCCCAUGUUUUUCUCUUCUACUUAAGUCUCAGUUUCUAUUGUUUCGGCAGUGAACGAAACGAAGAUUCACCGUGUCUCCACUCAGCAAAUCUGGCUAUGUUUCAGCUUCAUUUCCUCCCUCUCCCUACGUCAGUGGUUCCUCUCAGUGAGGUGAUUCUCACGAGGUUCCAGCCUUUCAUCGCCAGAUCCGAGAUCUCAAAACGCCUAUGCAACCUUGUGUAUCAUCUUUGUCACUCGCCUCCCUCGAAGUCAACC